UACGUAGGUGGCAAGCGUUGUCCGGGUUUAUUGGGUUUAAAGGGUGCGUAGGCGGUUCUGUAAGUCAGUGGUGAAAUCCGGCAGCUCAACUGUCGAUGUGCCAUUGAUACUGCAGAACUUGAGUACAGACGAGGUAGGCGGAAUUGACGGUGUAGCGGUGAAAUGCUUAGAUAUCGUCAAGAACACCGAUAGCGAAGGCAGCUUACUAGACUGUAACUGACGCUGAUGCACGAAAGUGUGGGGAUCAAACAGG
rnacentral:rRNA from 1 species